ensembl:lncRNA HAND2-AS1 HAND2 antisense RNA 1
GCCCCAGCAGGGACGAGGAGCGGCUGGAGAAGGGUGUUUCUUUGACCCGUUUACAGGCUCGAAACGCCGGUCUCAGUGGCUAUUGAGUUACCCACCAAGUUACCCCGGGACACCAGUCCCUACGAAGACCUUGGGCGAUUUUGAAGUGCGGGCACCUCGAUUCCCCGAAUCUGUAGUGUGGCUGGUAUCGGUGUUCCCCUGGUUUAACUAGCCUGUUUGAAGGCACAGAUCAUUCAUGGGGAUGUAUAACCGAAACCAGUCCUCUCCACCGCCUGGGGAUCUUCACUUUCGCAGUCUACGACUGCCUGUGACUCCAGAAAGACAAACUGCAGAUUGGCCAAGGUCCAGCCUAAAUGUUACCUCCUCCAGGGAGCCUUUCCAGAUACUGCUUCUCCUCUCUCCCCCAACUCCCUCCCACAAAUGAAGUUUUCUCUUCUGAA